rnacentral:rRNA from 1 species
UACGGAGGGGGCUAGCGUUGUUCGGAAUUACUGGGCGUAAAGCGCACGUAGGCGGCUUUGUAAGUUAGAGGUGAAAGCCCGGGGCUCAACUCCGGAAUUGCCUUUAAGACUGCAUCGCUCGAAUCAUGGAGAGGUCAGUGGAAUUCCGAGUGUAGAGGUGAAAUUCGUAGAUAUUCGGAAGAACACCAGUGGCGAAGGCGACUUACUGGACACAUAUUGACGCUGAGGUGCGAAAGCGUGGGGAGCAAACAGG